rnacentral:rRNA from 1 species
AGAAUUCCUUACGGGAAGGCAGCCAGUGGGGGAAUUAUUGCACCAAUGGGGGGAAACCCCUGAUGCAAGCGACGCCCGCGUGAAGGGAUGACGGCCUUUCGGGGUUGUAAACCUCUUUUCAGUAGGGAAGAAGCCUUUCGAAGGUGACGGUACCUGCAGAAGAAGUACCGGCUAACUACGUGCCAGCAGCCGCGGUAAUACGUAGGGUACAAGCGUUGUCCGGAAUUAUUGGGCGUAAAGAGCUCGUAAGCGGUCCGUCGCGUCUGCUGUGGAAACGCAAGGCUCAACCUUGCGCGUGCAGUGGGUACGGGCGGACUAGAGUGCAGUAGGGGAGUCUGGAAUUCCUGGUGUAGCGGUGGAAUGCGCAGAUAUCAGGAGGAACACCGGUGGCGAAGGCGGGACUCUGGGCUGUUACUGACGCUGAGGAGCGAAAGCAUGGGGAGCGAACAGGAUUAGAUACCCUGGUAGUCCAUGCCGUAAACGUUGGGCACUAGGUGUGGGGCUCAUUCCACGAGUUCCGCGCCGCAGCUAACGCAUUAAGUGCCCCGCCUGGGGAGUACGGCCGCAAGGCUAAAACUCAAAGGAAUUGACGGGGGCCCGCACAAGCGGCGGAGCAUGCGGAUUAAUUCGAUGCAACGCGAAGAACCUUACCAAGGCUUGACAUACACCGGAAUGUGCCAGAGAUGGUUCAGCCCUUUGGGCUGGUGUACAGGUGGUGCAUGGUUGUCGUCAGCUCGUGUCGUGAGAUGUUGGGUUAAGUCCCGCAACGAGCGCAACCCUCGUUCUAUGUUGCCAGCACGUGAUGGUGGGAACUCAUAGGAGACUGCCGGGGUCAACUCGGAGGAAGGUGGGGAUGACGUCAAAUCAUCAUGCCCUUUAUGUCUUGGGCUUCACGCAUGCUACAAUGGUCGGUACAAAGGGUUGCGAGANCCGUGAGGUGGAGCGAAUCCCAGAAAGCCGAUCUCAGUUCGGAUGGUAGUCUGCAACUCGACUACGUGAAGUCGGAGUCGCUAGAAUCGCA